GCUGGUUGGUAGGGUAACGGCCUACCAAGGCUAUGACGGGUAGGGGACCUGAGAGGGUGGCCCCCCACAAUGGAACUGAAACACGGUCCAUACACCUACGGGUGGCAGCAGUAGGGAAUAUUAGAAAUGGACGAAAGUCUGAUCUAGCAACACCGCGUGUGCGAAGAAGGCCUUCGGGUCGUAAAGCACUUUUUGGAAGGAAUAGGAAGGAAUGUACUUCCAGAAUAAGUCUCGGCUAACUACGUGCCAGCAGCCGCGGUAACACGUAGGAGGCGAACGUUAU
rnacentral:rRNA from 1 species